CGAGCAUGACGGGCGAACGAAAAUUGCUAACUUAGUCGUUUCUAUGGUUCAACUCCACAGCAUACUCAC
rnacentral:tRNA from 1 species